rnacentral:rRNA from 1 species
AUAGUAUUGUCCUUGGAAAGAAGGGUUGUGUUAUAUAUAGUGUGGACGUCUCGUCUCUCUGUAACAUUAAUCCUGUCAUUACGUUCAUCGUUACUCGCGUCGGUGAGUGAGUUCGGCAGGCGAGAGACAGGCACACAGUGCCCUCUUCCUUACACGGCUGUUAAGGUACCAUCUCGGGUACUCGGGAUGGCCUUCUCAGUACCUCCUCAACCCACACACGUAGCAGCAGCAGUAUCCCGAACCGUGCGGCCACUUGGACGGGCAGAAGGCGCGGCCGUAGCUUUGUCUUGACGAAUGAGCAAAGGGCGCGAAGGCGUCAUAAGUUCAUUACCUGCUGAGGUGGUCGUUACCGUUCGGCGCUACCCACGUUUGAGGCCACUUGGACCUGCUGGUGUAGCAGCAAGGGUCCGACCUAGGACUCCGACACCGCAGGCUGGGUCUUUUUCGGCACCUCCUGAUGCACCGCAGCGACAGGGACGAGGGCUACCUGUCCGCGGCGGGCGAGACCCUCAAAGUGAAGGAGCUGAAAGGUAGGAGGCUCCGUCGGAGGUGCCACCACGAGGCAGACGUGGUGAGGUAACCGCUGCCGUGCAGGUAGUGGUGCGAGGAGUACCGCCGCAGGGCGUCGUGCCGGCUGGGUCUUUCCCACGGCCGAUACGGUGGUGGUGGGUUCGCGUGUCCCCGGUAGAUGGUCGCCGUUGGCGCCGGAUGCGACAGAAGUCCACUAAUGGAGCGUGACGAACGUACCAAAACCAGCAUACAGCACGACCGGACCGUGUGUGACCACCUACAUUGCUACUAGCAACGUUGCUAUGACAAGAACUCACUAGGUGCGUGCGAGAAGUGCGCACGCCUGCCGGUGGUCAGAGCGUCGGCGUUCGCAAAACAAGUAGCCUGGGAAUCGAAACUACUACAGUUCGAGUAGUUCUGACGGUACUUGACGUGAUAAUUGCUGCACGAUCGGCCACACUGAAGUCGUCGAGAAAGUGUUAUAAUGAAAUUCUUCAGGCCACUGUGAUUGUGAUUCUCUUAGACAAACGCUAGUGAGCAGGAACAGCUGCGUUCCGGUCAGAGGUGGGCCGUUUGUAUACAAUGGUCUCAUCUCUGUCCGUUAGCUGAAUCGUCGGAGUAGACAGGUAAAUUAUAUCGGAACGUUCUACUAGGGGAACUCAUGCAAGUCCUCCGUUUUUUUAAAUACGUAUCCUUUUUCUCGAGAGAUCUUCACGACAAGUGUGCUCACCAGCCACUUAAAAACCACUUUUUGAAACCACAGUUCUUCCGUCCUCGAAAAUAGAAGGCGGCAAAACAGCUCGCUUGUUGGUAGUAUAAAAGUUUACGGGAACCUGGUCAACUUGUAUACCACAAUACACCCGUGGGUCAACGGAAGUACCGUGGAUCAUAGAUGCCAGGCGGUGUUCGAAACUGGCACGUGAUGGUAUUAAUACCAUCACUGUAGUUCCAUCAAGACCGUCAACUACUGCGUGUUAAAGGUCUAACAGUGGUCGAAAACCUACCAAAACGGCUCCGGUAAUCUUAGUAAUUCUUACGCCGUCGUGAGUUCUGUAACUGUUGUAGUUAGAUCUUCCCGUUGUGACUCAUUACCGUCAACAUAAACACGAGUGUAUGGGUUACUUGCUUAAUUUUAAUAUAUACUUUGAAACACAUUACGAUCAUACAACAAAUAUAAAAUUAACACACGUAAAGAAUACAUGUGAAAUUAUAUAAAACAAAUACAGUUAUUUACAUGCGAAACCCAGUUUGAAAAAAUAUGAUGAUAUAUUAGACAAUAAUAUCAGCCGGUUUUCGAUCUGAUACUUCGAGGGACAAAAAAAUUCUCUUCGAACUAACAC